rnacentral:rRNA from 1 species
UAAAUUUAUAAUUUAUGUUGUUAUUUUUGCUUUUUGUGAAUUAAUAGAAUUAUCUUGUUUUAUUGUAAGCUUAUUUGAUUUAAAAAUAUGUUUUUAGUACUGUGAAGGUAUUUUUAUAUCUUUAUUUAAGUAAUCUAUUUUGAUGUACCUUUUGUAUCAGGGUAUAUUUAUUUUAUGUUAUUAUUGUUGUUUUUCCCAAAACUUUAAGAUCUAGGGCUAUAUGAUAUUUAAUGUUUAAUAAUUAUUAUAAAUUUAGUUUUGGUGAUUAUAUUUUUUCAAUUAAAGUUAUAUUUGGUUUCUGAAUAAUUAGAUUUAAUCUAUAACUAGUUUUAUUAUUUAUAUUUAUGUAUCUUUAGUUAUAUAUAAAUCAGGAUAAGCUGAUUUAUAUAUUUAUAAAUUUUAUAUUAUUUUCGCUUUUUGUAGGUUUAAAAAUAUCCGUCAAUUAUUUUUUAAAAAUUAUUUUUGUUUUAUACUUCAUUUUAAUUUAUUUUAUAUUGUUAUUUGGUUUAUGAUUUUAAUUUUUUAUAUUAUAUAAUAAUGAUAUAAUUAGUAUUUAUUUUUUAUUUAAAAUAUAGUAAUUUGGCAUAUAUUAUUUUCACCUGUUUAGCAAAAACAUGGUUUUCUGAUUUUUAAUAUAAAAUUUGAUCUGCUCUAUGAUUUAUUAUUAAAUGGCUGCAGUAUAUUGACUGUACAAAGGUAGCAUAAUCAUUUGUCAUUUAAUUGAUGACUAGAAUGAAAGGUUGGAUGAGAAAUAUACUUUCUUUGUUUUAAAUAUAAAACUUAAUUUUUAAGUUAAAAAGCUUAAUUAUUAUUAUGGGACGAGAAGACCCUAUAGAAUUUUAUUUAUUAAUUUUGUGUUAAUGUUUUUGUAAAUCUUCAUUGAUAUGAAUUUAUUUAUUUUGUUGGGGUGAUAGGGGAAAUUUAAUAACUUUUUUAUUUUUUUUCAUUUAUGUAUGGUUUGAUCCUUUAAUAUUGAUUAUUAGAUUAAAUUACCUUAGGGAUAACAGCGUUAUUAUUUCGGAGAGUUCAUAUCGAUGAAAUUAGUUUGCGACCUCGAUGUUGGAUUAAAGUUAUUAUUAGGUGCAGCAUUUUAUAUAUUAGGUCUGUUCGACCUUUAAAUCUUUACAUGAUCUGAGUUCAGACCGGCGUGAGCCAGGUCGGUUUCUAUCUUUAACUUGUGUUUAAAGUCUUAGUACGAAAGGAUUAGAUUUUUUAAAUAUUUUGU